UAGGGAAUCUUCCGCAAUGGGCGAAAGCCUGACGGAGCAACGCCGCGUGAGUGAUGAAGGUCUUCGGAUCGUAAAACUCUGUUAUUAGGGAAGAACAAAUGUGUAAGUAACUAUGCACGUCUUGACGGUACCUAAUCAGAAAGCCACGGCUAACUACGUGCCAGCAGCCGCGGUAAUACGUAGGUGGCAAGCGUUAUCCGGAAUUAUUGGGCGUAAAGCGCGUGUAGGCGGUUUUUUAAGUCUGAUGUGAAAGCCCACGGCUCAACCGUGGAGGGUCAUUGGAAACUGGAAAACUUGAGUGCAGAAGAGGAAAGGGGAAUUCCAUGUGUAGCGGUGAAAUGCGCAGAGAUAUGGAGGAACACCAGUGGCGAAGGGGACUUUCUGGUCUGUAACUGACGCUGAUGUGCGAAAGCGUGGGGAUAAAACAGG
rnacentral:rRNA from 1 species